rnacentral:rRNA from 1 species
UACGUAGGGACCGAGCGUUGUCCGGAAUCAUUGGGCGUAAAGCGCGCGUAGGCGGCCGUCCACGUCGGAUGUGAAAGCUCAGGGCUCAACCCUGAGAGGCCAUUCGAUACGGGACGGCUAGAGGCAGCUAGGGGAGAGUGGAAUUCCUGGUGUAGCGGUGAAAUGCGCAGAUAUCAGGAGGAACACCGGUGGCGAAGGCGGCUCUCUGGGGCUGAUCUGACGCUGAGGCGCGAAAGCUGGGGUAGCGAACAGG